rnacentral:rRNA from 1 species
GAUGAACGCUGGCGGCGUGCCUAAUACAUGCAAGUCGAGCGAACAGAUGAGGAGCUUGCUCCUCUGACGUUAGCGGCGGACGGGUGAGUAACACGUGGAUAACCUACCUAUAAGACUGGGAUAACUUCGGGAAACCGGAGCUAAUACCGGAUAAUAUAUUGAACCGCAUGGUUCAAUAGUGAAAGACGGUUUUGCUGUCACUUAUAGGUGGAUCCGCGCCGCAUUAGCUAGUUGGUAAGGUAACGGCUUACCAAGGCAACGAUGCGUAGCCGACCUGAGAGGGUGAUCGGCCACACUGGAACUGAGACACGGUCCAGACUCCUACGGGAGGCAGCAGUAGGGAAUCUUCCGCAAUGGGUGAAAGCCUGACGGAGCAACGCCGCGUGAGUGAUGAAGGUCUUCGGAUCGUAAAACUCUGUUAUUAGGGAAGAACAAAUGUGUAAGUAACUAUGCACGUCUUGACGGUACCUAAUCAGAAAGCCACGGCUAACUACGUG